rnacentral:lncRNA from 1 species
UAAUGAGGUUUAUAAUUUUGGCGCCCAUACCGGACGGGGUAUGGGGACGGCCCUGGAAUCUGAUUUCAAUUGUUAAGGGUUAACGGGUAGCGGGACCCUUAUGGAUCCCCAUGGAUACUAGUGGGCUGGUAAAUGAGGAAAAUAUGUUGUGUAACGAUUGAAUUACAAAAGGCUUGAUAAGUAUUAUGUUAUACAGUUCAUAUAUGAUUUCAUGAUGAUGAUAAUGUUAUUGCUUUCGUAUACUGUUUUAUGGAUU